rnacentral:lncRNA from 1 species
ACUGCACUUCAGCCUGGGCAACAAGAGCGAAACUCCGUCUUAAAAAAAUCAAGAAAAUGUUGGAACAAUUUAAUUCAGUAUUAACUUGUUUCUUACUCUUGGGGAAACAAGAACAGGAAAAAAAAUACAAACGGUGAUUAUAUUGUUUACAUAAUUAUAAAUAAUGCUUCCUACAAAUGCUUUACAAUGACAUUUAAUUAAUAAUUAUAAAGAUGACGCUAUAAACAUUGCACCGGACCAGCUAUUUGGCAAUGAUUACAGCAUGGUUCCUUGGGUAUCCAGAUAAAGCAGCUGUUAUUGAUGAUCAAAAAAUAUUUGCUCCAUUCCUGAGAUAGGAAGCAGCAUCUUCUCCCAAGAUAGGAAACAGUGUCUUGACAGCUUUUUAAGCUAGACAAGAAGACGGUGCAAAGUAAUAUAUGCAAAAAGUGUGGAGUCAAGUGUAUUGUAAAAUGAAGUGCAUAAAUGUGAACAAUUUAUCCGCAGCAUCUAAUGUAGUACCUGACUCAAGAUAAAUGGUCAAUAAAUAUUUGAUGAAUAAAUGAAUGAAUGAACUAUAUUUCAUCAAAUCGAAUCAAUCAAUACCAUAAGCAAUCAACUGUGUUACACAUUAAAGAAACGCAAAAAUGAGUAUCCUACCUACUCUGUGGUGGUAACAGAAAGAGGAUUCUUCGCUUGAUCUGGGCCAAACGUCAGAGAAGUAAUGAAAGAACAUUCUUAUGGAGAUGGGAGAUAUGAAGUAGGAGACUGAUGUUUAGCAGGCCACUUAACAUACUUGAGACUCAGUUCCAUGAUUCGUUAAGUAGGAACCAAUAAGCUGAGUAUCACUGGCUCCCCAUGAAUAUAAAAGGAUGUAUGUUAUACUACUAUUUCCAAGAACUUUCCUACAAAGUGUCUGUGACGGAUUGAAUUAUUUUUCUCAACUUGUUACUCCCUUCUUUCCAUACGAGGAUUACAUAUCCCUUUCCCAUUGGCAUUGGUGACUUAUUUUGGCCGAUGAAAUGGGAGUGUAUGUGAUACACUCCUCAUACAUAGGUACCUAAUGGCAGAACUUGUAAAACGUAGGAAGUCUGUGCCCGUGUUCUUCUUCAUGUCCCCUCUACCGUGUCCCAGCCAAUGGCUAUUCCUGCAGCCUAAUUCUCAGAAUAAAAAGUGAGGGGAAGCAAAUCCUAACCUGACACACAACCAGAAGCAAAGACAGCAGCUGACCUGUAGCUGAUGGUAUCUGUAAACAAUUUAUUUAUGUGAAUAAUAAAUAGUUGUUGUAAACACUCAGUAUUUUUAGCUUAUUUGUAAUGUAGCAUGACCUCAAGAAAAUCUGACUCAUACAAUCCCUUAACCACAAAAGCAAGUAAUGUGUAAAUGUGUAUCCCUCUCCAAAAGGUCAUAACUUAAACUGGA